rnacentral:ncRNA from 1 species
AUAAUGUUUUAUUCUUGCUUAAAAAUUUAUUUAAUCUAGAUUUUACAUGUAAAUUUUUGUGUGGAUUGUUUGUAGCCUGGAAGGUUUAAUUUAUUAUUCGCAGUAUUUAGUAUUGAAAAUUAAGGUUACUUAGCUUUGGUUGUAGAUUUUAUUAUUGGUUAAAUUCGUGCCAGCUACCGCGGUUAUACGAUAAAUAUGAGUAAAUUUUGUUGUUUGAAGUUAAUGAAUUUAAUUUGGAAAAGGAGUAAUGUUUUAAGGUAAAAUUUGUAUAUAUUUGUGAAUUUUCUUUGAUAUGAGGCUUGGAAAUUUUUAAGGAAAACUAGGAUUAGAUACCCUAUUAUUGGAAAUGUAAAUUAAAGAAAUUGGGUAGUAGUAGGUAAGGUCUUGAAACCCAAAGAAUUUGGCGGUGUUUUAAUCUUUUCAGAGGAAUCUGUUCUGUAAUUGAUAAUUCACGAUUAUGUGAACUUAGUUUUAAGAUUUGUAUAUCGCCGUCAUCAGAAUAUUUUUAUAGAAAGGAUUUUCUUGAUAUUUAAUUGAAUAAGAUGUCAGGUCAAGGUGCAGUUGAUAAUUAAGGAGAAAUGGAUUACAAUAAAGUUAUUUAUAUGGAUAAAUGUUGUGAAGAUUUUUUUGAAAGUGGAUUUGAUAGUAAUUGUGAAUUAAAUUUUAUAAUGACUAAAGCUCUAAAACAUGUACACAUCGCCCGUCACUCUCAUUUUAAAUGAGAUAAGUCGUAACAAAGUAGAUGUACUGGAAAGUGUAUCUAGAAUGUC